AGUAACUUGGAACUAUGUCUAUGCCCAUGAUGUGCUCAGCCACAACUCAAACCUGAAACGUCUUUAUUGCAGAUUUCAUACUAUGGCUUCACACUUUUUUAUGGCAUUAUUUGAUACAGCCUGGCGGCUCAAUAGGUGGAGCAUAGGACUGGAAACAGAGGCUCCCCAGUUCCAUCCCUGUCUCUGACCCCUGGACGCUCACAUGUGGCUGCCUUAAUCAACCAACUUUUAAUUAAUUAGACAAAGACCUACACAUCAUCGGGCGCAGAGAGCUUGUCAGCACGCUUCUCUCUCGUUCUGUGAUUGUCCUCAAUAACCCCGUUGGCCGUGAUGAAUGAUGGCGGGUACUGGAUGAAAGCCGGCAUCUGCUUCACCUCAGCUGAAAGUCUCCGUGCGGCGCUUCAUUCAGGACCAUUCAAUAUCAGGCAUCGCUGCACAAACCCGAGUGAGACGCGGAACAGAGGGAGAAACUGUUUAAGAUGAAGGAGCACCUGGCUGAUCAUGAGCUCUAUUACAUGUGACAGAGUGGGAUCUGGAGUGAGUCUGUGGGCAGCGGGAUCUUAUCUUCCUCCGGCAUCGUUCGCCUCCGUGGACAUUGUUUCCCCGCUAUCUUGGAUUUCUUUGUGCCAUCGCGUCUCCGCGUGUUUGUGCGGCGAGCGCCGUUUUGCCCCGGAGCGACGCGGAAGUACGUCAGCGCCGCUGGCUCCCGCUUAGAAAAAGGCCAACAGGAAAAGAGCACUCAGAGCGAGAGGAGACAGGAGGGGAGGAGAGCGGAGUCGCAGCAGAAGUGCAGACGGGAGGAGGUGAAGGACGCUGAUAACCACUUACUCAUCACUGUCUCACCGGGCCCAUGCAUCCAAUUUGCAGGAAAUCUGCAUUAGCCUGAAUUUGACAUGUCUUUUGUUUAUAAAGAUUCUUUCUGGAUGUGCGUUAAGUGUUGGGGACGCAGUGUGAGUGUGUGAGCGCGGCCCCGUCGCAGGAAGCCCCAAUGCCAAAGCAAUCAGCUCUUCCUGUUUUAUUUAAACCUCGGGCGGUAAACAGACUCUGUUUCAGCUUCCGCUGGAAUCACGACGCUCAAAACAGCCUCCUGUCUGUUUGUUGCUGAACUUUCCCAGAGCGUAUUUACUUUCGCCCGCCGCGGAGCCGGCCCGCGUCUGCGGCGCUCCGCAGGGGGGCUCCCUGUUGCACGUCCUGCUUUUCUCUACAAUGGAGAGCCCGCAGACUCUAUGGGAGUGUUUCCAACCAAAUUCAUAUCGAGCGAGGCCUGUGGAUCGUCUGGGACUCGGGUUCUGGAAGGAAUCUGGCCUUUGAAGUACCUUAAAACCUUAAAACGUUAAUCGCCAUGGCUGUGAAAUCCACAGGAGAAAAUCCAUUUGACUCCAUGGCAGCAUAAUGGAUGUGGAGGCCUGAAAACCAAGACUCCCUCCAUCCUGGCAAAGCAUAAAAGUAAACUGGUAUUUUUGGUUGAUCCCAGGCUGAUUGAUGAGCAGAAUUUAUCCGUACUCUCAGUCAAGAGUGUUAAAGAGGAGCAGACAGCGGCGUCUCUGCUUCCUGGGUUCUUCUGCUACUGAGACAGGAAGCAAUUAGAAUAAAAGCGGAAGUUGCACUUGUCUCUAAAUUCGUCCCAGGAUGUUCAUUCUUUAUCUUUCUGUGACUCUUUUCCUCCUAACUACUGGAUUAGCACCACUGCUUUGAUCUGACUCCGCGUGCACGUGUGUGCUCAUACUCCAAAUACAUGUCGAUCGUCUUCCUGCUUGUGUCAGACACUCACCCCCGUGGUUCCGCCUUCAUUAGUCGAGUCUAUUAGUGAUGCCGCCUGUUUUUUUUUCUAGCUCCAGUCUCUGGAUUCUAAUUUGUAUGAAAGUGGGAUCUGCAUAUUAAUAUUAUAUUAAUAAAUGUAAUCAUUAAACUAGGACACAACCGGCAAUAAAUGUGCUUUUUAAUGCAACAUAGAAAACUAUUAAGCUAAAGUUGAUCUUUCAUAUGUCAUCAUAUGUCAAAUUUUAUAAAAUCCCAAUUUGUUGUUUAAACAAAAACUGUGUGAGGUAAGUCUCCUCCUAACAUCAGUGCAACCACAUAUGA